CUUGACAUCCCGAUAGCUAUUCUUAGAGAUAGAAAGUUACUUCGGUACAUCGGUGACAGGUGGUGCAUGGUUGUCGUCAGCUCGUGUCGUGAGAUGUUGGGUUAAGUCCCGCAACGAGCGCAACCCCUACUUGUUAGUUGCCAUCAUUCAGUUGGGCACUCUAGCGAGACUGCCGGUAAUAAACCGGAGGAAGGUGGGAUGACGUCAAAUCAUCAUGCCCUUAUGACCUGGGCUACACACGUGCUACAAUGGUUGGUACAACGAGUUGCGAGUCGGUGACGGCGAGCUAAUCUCUUAAAGCCAAUCUCAGUUCGGAUUGUAGGCUGCAACUCGCCUACAUGAAGUCGGAAUCGCUAGUAAUCGCGGAUCAGCACGCCGCGGUGAAUACGUUCCCGGGCCUU
rnacentral:rRNA from 1 species